ACCCGGAAGGGGCCUGAAAAAAUAUGGUUAAGAGGACAUUGACCCAUGUGGCUGAGAAUCGAACCAGGUUGGAGAAGAUCUGGUUCCCAAGUCCAGGAGGAGUGAAGCCACGGAGAAAGGACCAGAAAACAGAAUAUAUGUCCGGGGGAAAUGCUGUCUGUUUCAGCAAACCAGGAAAAAGUGGACUCCGACGGCGACUGACCUUGGUGAAAAGCAUGGUGCAGGUCCAGGAUGGAGCGAUGGUGAGAGACAGCAAGAGAGGGAACACAAGCAGGGGGAGCGGAAGAGGAAGAAGCAGGCUUCCC